rnacentral:tRNA from 1 species
GGUGGAGUACCGAAGCGGCCGACCGGGCGCGCCUCGAAAGCGCGUGAGCCUCACGGCUCCGUGGGUUCAAAUCCCACCUCCACCG